rnacentral:tRNA from 1 species
GGGACUGUAGUUCAAUUGGUCAGAGCGUCGCCCUGUCACGGCGGAAGUUGCGGGUUCGAGACCCGUCAGUCCCGAACUAG